rnacentral:rRNA from 1 species
AAACCGUUCAGGGGUAAACCUGAGAAACCCAAAAGAUCGAAUGGGGAGAUUCAUCGUCAGCUCAUUUUGUAUAUAUAUGAGUUAUGAUAUGGGUUACUACUUGUAGUAUUGCCUGUACAUUCUUUUAUAUUUUAUUGCAAGAUGUUGUCGGCGUGCACUUCUCCCCUAGUAGGACGUCGCGACCCGUUGAGUGUCGGUCUACGGCCCGAGUGGUAGCCUUUAAUUCUUGUAAUUAAAGACCCUUGGUGUUUCCUGACUGACUGCUCGGCGGUAUUCGUACGGUAUUAAGCCGCAUUUAUGCGUUCAUAUCCGUCGCAAGCGCGGUCAAUUUUUAGUAGUACGGACCUAGUGCCGUCGCUAUAAUUGAUCAGCUGUUGGUUGUACGGUAUUCUAGAACUGGCUUAACAUAUAUACCGGUCUGCGAUGCUACUGCUUUGGGUACUUUCAGGA